rnacentral:snRNA from 1 species
AAACUGACCUGGUGCCUGGGCCUCGUUGAUCACCAAGGAUGAGCCUGCAGGGUUGGCAUUGCACUACGUUCGCGUUGACCCCUUCCACAACCCCAAACGGGGGCAUAUGGGGCAUGCAAAUUGCUUAAAUCCGGUUCAACGCAAGAGAGGGCGGCACCGCC